rnacentral:sRNA from 1 species
UAGAUAUAUAGAAUAUGAAUUAGAGACAACUUAUAUCUGACUUGAUACAUAGAAGAGGAAUUAGAGACAGCUUAUAUCUGACUUGGUGAAAAAUAAGGAAAAGAGUCCCCCUGUCUGAAAUAUACUUAGUCACUUACGGGUUGGUUGUCUGCAACUUUUCUAGGUGCAGGAGUGUGUUCUAACUGUGACCAUCCAGUGAUUUCAACUGGCCACCUAAAGUUUACUUUACAGAAGUGUGCUUUAUUCAGACAAAUCAGUUUUGAUUAUUGAUAUGUGGCCAUGUUCAAAUGUUUCCUGUUUCGGUCAGUUUACAACUACAAACAAUAGACUGGAUGUUAUUUUCAGCCAGCCAUGCAAAUUCAGCAUAAUAGAAACCAUUUGCUUUAUGGUUUACAAAGACCUUUUAUAUAUUCAUAUUUGUACAUUUCUCCUUUUGAAAAUUUCUUAGAAGGUAACAUUGAAUCACUACAAUUCCUAUUUUAUAUAAAAAAAAAAUAGUAACUCAUGUGCGGAACACAGUGACCAAGAAGAAAGCUAGCUCAGGACAUUAUUGGGGAUCUGGCCUGUAUCAUUAGACUGAUAAUGAUAUAUUUUUGGCUUAGAUGUGUUGGACUGUGGGCAUUGAUGGGAGUCAGGAAGUGUCUCCUGUACUCUCUGGUUGCCUGGUUAUGCUCUCAGACUCUGAUCUUCUAUAGAACCUUGGCAAGAGCCUGGCUUUCAAGUGAUCACCAACCAUCAUUCUUUCUUUUGUGCAUGUGCAUGUGCAUGUACCUGUGCGUGUGUCUUAGUGCCAGACUUCAUUACCACACAGCAAACUGGAAGUGUCAUCUCCUGCCCCUCUGGGUGGAUUCGCUCUGAGAUGUGGUAUGCAUAAUGAUCCCAGAAUGUUCUCACUGGAUUAGGUGCUUCAGGGGCCCACAGUUUUAUCAGUCUUCACACAAUUCUGCCUUUUGUUGCCUUCCUCUCCUGAUCAUACUUUCCUAUAUGCUAACAGUCUUCACUUUCCGAAAUACACUGGGCCAAUGGCUGUUUUGUUCCCAGGGACCCACAGCCUAGCGAUGCUACUCCUGAGCUGUCAUCCUCUCCUACUCUAACUUGUUGAUUUAGUUGACCAAGUAGUUCUCUAACUCACAACCAAGCCUCUACUACUGAAUCCCCCAUGCUUGAAAUCCUCUUCCUUGCUCUAACAUGUCCUUCCUGGAUGUAUUUAGACAGUCUCACAAGCUAAAGAAAGAGGUCACUCUGCUUGCAGCUCUGAUCAUUCCUCAUGGAUGACUGGCAAUGUGGGCAUGCAAAUGGUUCCUUCCAUGUGGCUUAGCAGUCUACACUCUCCAAAUUUACUUGCACACUAAUCACAUGAAAGACUUCUCUUGAAUUGCUGGAACUCAACUCGCUCUCCUACACACUUUAACGGAGCUGAUAGCCGUUCUUAGGGGAAAACACAACUGUUGGAUUAGUCCUGGCUCAUUUUCCCCUCCACCACCUCUGCCACUGAACGUAGAGAAGAUCUUAGAGCCAUGGCUAAAACUGCAUGUCGGCAGACGGAAGCAUCUAGGAAUUCUAUUUUCAAAUCACUUGUAGACAUUCUUUUCAUACAAAAUUGGUUGAUACUUAGUUUACACUUCGGGGCAUUUCAGCUAAAAUGAUCCAUGGAGUAGUUGGGGAGCACAGACCAUCCAAUGGAGACUAACUGUGAGCUCCAAACCACCCUAAGCAAGCCACUGUGUCAUGGCAGCCUCCUCCGUAGGCUGAACAUACUCCUGUAGAUUCAGGGACAUAAAGACAUAAAGAACCCCCAAAUACUUGAUGUCCAUCUAGUUAUUGGCUUUUGAUGGAAUGCCUGAGCUUUUCUAUUUGUCAAAGCACUUAGGGUUAUACAGUAUGUCACAAUCCUAGGUCGUCUGUGGUCUCCUUAAUGUGAAUUGGAUUAAGCUUUCUGUUCAAUAAGUAUAUUCUUGGGAGAGAAACUUACCCCAUUACAUCAAUAAUACUAAACUCCAAACAUAAAUAAUACUGUUAAAAGAAAAAAAGCACAAUCUAUCCCAUCAUCCGACAAGAAGGGAAAAAAAGGAAACCAUCUGCAAGUGUCCCUGCCCCCACUCCAAACAGGCGGCACUGCUUCGGCAGGGGCGGGUGAAAGGGUGAGAUGGAUAGGAAAAACAGAAACAUGGAUAAAAUUAUAUAAAUAACUGUUGUUAUUCUUGGACCAUGCAAUGCAGAUCAACACUUGAAUGAAUGUUGCCUUACAGAAAUCUCAGGGCACAAUGAAGCCUUGUUGUUACUCUAAACUUUGUUCAAAGCCAGAAGCCAAGAAAAAGUUUUCAGAUAUCUUGACAGAGAACCACGAUGGAGUGUUUUACUGAUGGCUCUGAAAGAAACUGCCAUGAAUGCUAUUUUUAUUCAGAUUGUGACAUAUAUGUGUGCAUAUAUAUGUAUAUAAUAUAGUAUGUAUAUACACAUAUAUACAUAUGCAUAUGUGCAUAUAUAUAGUCUUUAAACCUUAAAGUGCCUUCUGAUAUUUAUUUUGUAAAAAAUGAAAACACAACACCAAAAUAUUAACAUAACUAUUUAGAACUUAAUUUUCAGAAUCCUAAGCUGGUAAAUACUGCAAAGAGAUCAAUUUUCUUCCUUGUAAAGGAAGUGGCUUUUGACAUAGUUUUUAAUCUAACAUAGAAAUUGACUUUGAUUUUAGUAAGUCAGUAUCAAGGGACAGUGAUAAUUGCUAAAGUUAAUUAUGUUUAAAGAAACUAAUAGUCUAAUAAUAAAAACGAGCAUUGAUGGUAACAUAUGACUUAUAAACGAGCAUUGAUGGUAACAUAUGACUUAUAAAAAUAUUGAUAGUACAAUACUAAGGAUAAAGCUGCAUCUUUGCACUGAAAACUCCCAAAAAUAAAGAAAAUAAAAAUCAGCUACGUUAACAAUUUCCAUCAGAGUACAGAGAAGAAGAGAAGUUCACAAUUCCCAGGAGAUAAGGACAGGCAUCAGCCUUUCUUCUGUGCUUAGGAAAGCACAAUGUUCAGAGAAUAUCCUGGUCACUUCCUCCUCAGUGUGGCCCAGUGGUCUAAAGACAGACCAGGGCCAUAAAAUUGGAGUUCCAAAACUGUUCAACUUUUUCCUAGUUACCUUAUAUCAGGAAAUUCCCAUAUGUAUCAGUAAAUUUCAUAUGCUGAUUAUACAAUUACAUGCCAAAUACCUAUUAUUAUCUGUCACUGUUGUAGUAUUUAAUAAAUGCUCGAGUAAGAGAUCUCCAUACAUCACAAAAAACAUGCAAAUUGUCAAGUUUGUUGGAAUGUAAAUACAGGGAAAAAUAAAGGCACAAAAACACAUGUUAAGUGUGGCAACACGGGUAGAUCAUUGUAAAGCUACUAUAAAAAAUGAACUCAAUAAGGUUGUGGUCAUUGGCGUUGCAAAAUGACCACAGAUGUAGAGAUUUACAAUUUCACAAAUUUGAAGGCUGGUGAUAUGGCUUAUCUGUGAAGAACACUGGCUGCUUUUCCAAGCCCCAUGUUCCAUUACCAGCACAUACAUGCCCGCUUACAAACAUCUAUAACACCAGUUCCAAGGGACCCAGUGCCUGCUUCUGACCCCAGUGGGACACCACACUGCACAGAUACACAUGCAAGCAAAACACUCAUACACAUAAAAACUAAAUUGGAAUGUUACAAAUGUAUUAUAUUAGAAAGAUCAAAAUGGUUUUCCAUGAGCUCAACUUAAGGUGUAUAGGGGUGUCCAGUCCCUUUGUCUGCCUAGACAAGAAUAGAUGACCCCAUGUGUUCUCACAGUGGCCAGCCCAGCUCCCCCACGGUACGUGGUUCCAAACUCUGCUUUAGCAUCUCAGUUCCUCCUCUGCCCAACAUAAAUGUCUCUGCCUAACAAAAACUCUUCGUUGCAUAUAAUAUCUAAUGUGAUGAAACAGGAUCAUCUCCCAUCUCAAGAUCCUUAACUCAAUCCCUUCUCUCAAGCUCAUUUUCCCAUGGAAGGUAUCAGGUUCCGGGGAUCAGGAAUGGACAGACACCUUUUGCCUUAGUGUGCAUUCCUAACAAUGAUUCGCUCUUGUCACUUUUCCUUAAACUGUCUGGUACCGUGAAUGGAGGGGAAGAGACAAAUCGUAAACAAAGUAAUGAAUCAUGUCCAUGGAGCAGGGACAAAGCAAAAGGCCUCUGCCUCACAGGCUCUGGAAUCCGCGUGGUAAACUGGCUUUUUUUCUGCUUCUUCAGGAGAGGAAGAUUUCCCCUCUGUCUCUCACUUGCAUGGUUUGUAAAGAGCACACACGCAUAUGUUUUGCAUAUAGACCAAGUGGCCAUUACCAACCCUCUGAACUCUCUCUGCUCCCAGGUGCCAAGAGUCAGGGCCCUCCCCUCCACCGGGCAGAGGAAGUAGCAAGGGCUGGAAGGAGCCAGGCUUAGCGACUCAUUCUCCCCUGGAUUUCCUGUCUCCCUCCCUUGCCAAACCUCACUUCUGAAAAGCAGGCUUCACCUUCUAUGAGUCAGAGUGUGGAUCACUGAGGUGCUGCUGAGCAGAAGCCACUGGCUGCCUUGAUGCCGUCAGGACAAGCCCUGCUAGUGUGUGAGGUUCGGAUGGGGUGUGCCCAGCUGCAGGAUAUUUUACAUGUUCCCCAUAACCUGGAUGUGUUGGUCGCGAUUUGAUCAUCUUCAGAACAGAGCUGUGACAAGCUGGGCCACUCCUGUGAACACUAACAGCUGAAAGGGGUCUUUGUUUCAUGGCUCUCCACACCAUCUGGGCAGAAGUCCAGGGGCAAAGGGAAAGGGGGGAGGGGGAGGGCCUGCGGCUCAUCAUGCAGUCACCCUGCGUUGAGAAGCAAGGGGUCCCAGCCAGGAUACACAGCAGUAUUCUCUUGCCCACAAGACUAGAUACUUAGCAUUUGCAACCAAGAUCAGGAAGCACAAAGCAAACUCCAUGGUUCUAUCACCAUCACGGUUGUUAAGAGUGAUGUCAUUAGGAAAAGAGGAAAUGGGCCAUUCCUUCACAAACGACCAAAGGGAGUGUUUCCUGGAGGAAACUGCAGCAGUGUGAAACUAAUUAUUUUAGAAGGUCUAUAAAAAGUAGGCAGUCAAAAUAAAGAAAGUGAGUAUAGAUCGCAUAGUAGAGAGGCUGGAAGUUGUUUGCUCCCUACAUCAUACCUAGGUAGCCUAUUCAUCGGACCGCUGGCAUAGCUUUACAACCAAGUCUUUCAUUAGCUUACGUGAGGUACCAUAUACAGAAA